rnacentral:rRNA from 1 species
UACGGAGGGAGCUAGCGUUGUUCGGAAUUACUGGGCGUAAAGCGCACGUAGGCGGCUAUUCAAGUCGGGGGUGAAAGCCCGGGGCUCAACCCCGGAACUGCCCUCGAAACUAGGUAGCUAGAAUCUUGGAGAGGCGAGUGGAAUUCCGAGUGUAGUGGUGAAAUGCGUAGAUAUCCGGAGGAACACCAGUGGCGAAAGCGGCCCCCUGGACUGCACCUGACGCUGACACGCGAAAGCUAGGGGAGCGAACGGG